rnacentral:rRNA from 1 species
CCUACGGGUGGCAGCAGUGGGGAAUAUUGGACAAUGGGCGAAAGCCUGAUCCAGCCAUGCCGCGUGUGUGAAGAAGGCCUUCGGGUUGUAAAGCACUUUCAGUGGGGAAGAAAGCCUUGGGGCUAAUACCCUCGAGGAAGGACAUCACCCACAGAAGAAGCACCGGCUAACUCCGUGCCAGCAGCCGCGGUAAUACGGAGGGUGCGAGCGUUAAUCGGAAUUACUGUGCGUAAAGCGCGCGUAGGCGGUCUGAUAAGCCGGUUGUGAAAGCCCCGGGCUCAACCUGGGAACGGCAUCCGGAACUGGCAGGCUAGAGUGCAGGAGAGGAAGGUAGAAUUCCCGGUGUAGCAGUGAAAUGCGUAGAGAUCGGGAGGAAUACCAGUGGCGAAGGCGGCCUUCUGGACUGACACUGACGCUGAGGUGCGAAAGCGUGGGUAGCAAACAGGAUUAGAUACCCCAGUAGUC